rnacentral:rRNA from 1 species
UACGGAGGAUGCGAGCGUUAUCCGGAUUUAUUGGGUUUAAAGGGUGCGUAGGCGGUCGGAUAAGUUAGAGGUGAAAUCCCGAGGCUCAACUUCGAAAUUGCCUCUAAUACUGUAGGACUAGAGAGUAGUUGCGGUAGGCGGAAUGUAUGGUGUAGCGGUGAAAUGCAUAGAUAUCACGCAGAACUCCGAUCGCGAAGGCAGCCUACCGGCGCGCAACUGACGCUCAUGCACGAAAGCGUGGGUAUCGAACAGG